rnacentral:rRNA from 1 species
UGGGGAAUAUUGGACAAUGGGCGCAAGCCUGAUCCAGCCAUGCCGCGUGAGUGAUGAAGGCCUUAGGGUUGUAAAGCUCUUUCGCCGACGAAGAUAAUGACGGUAGUCGGAGAAGAAGCCCCGGCUAACUUCGUGCCAGCAGCCGCGGUAAUACGAAGGGGGCUAGCGUUGCUCGGAAUCACUGGGCGUAAAGCGCACGUAGGCGGAUGUUUAAGUCAGAGGUGAAAGCCUGGAGCUCAACUCCAGAACUGCCUUUGAUACUGGGCAUCUUGAGUCCGGAAGAGGUAAGUGGAACUGCGAGUGUAGAGGUGAAAUUCGUAGAUAUUCGCAAGAACACCAGUGGCGAAGGCGGCUUACUGGUCCGGUACUGACGCUGAGGUGCGAAAGCGUGGGGAGCAAACA